rnacentral:rRNA from 1 species
CCUACGGGCGGCAGCAGUAGGGAAUCUUCGGCAAUGGGCGAAAGUCUGACCGAGCAACGCCGCGUGAGUGAAGAAGGUUUUCGGAUCGUAAAACUCUGUUGUUAGAGAAGAACAAGUAGGAGAGUAACUGCUCUUACCUUGACGGUAUCUAACCAGAAAGCCACGGCUAACUACGUGCCAGCAGCCGCGGUAAUACGUAGGUGGCAAGCGUUGUCCGGAUUUAUUGGGCGUAAAGCGAGCGCAGGCGGUCUUUUAAGUCUGAUGUGAAAGCCCCCGGCUCAACCGGGGAGGGUCAUUGGAAACUGGGGAACUUGAGUGCAGAAGAGGAGAGUGGAAUUCCACGUGUAGCGGUGGAAUGCGUAGAGAUGUGGAGGAACACCGGUGGCGAAGGCGACUCUCUGGUCUGUAACUGACGCUGAGGAGCGAAAGCGUGGGGAGCGAACAGGAUUAGAUACCCUAGUAGUC